rnacentral:tRNA from 1 species
GCGGGGAUAGCUCAGCUGGGAGAGCGUCAGACUGAAGUUCACUUCAUUCUUAAAUCUGAAGGCCGUGCGUUCGAUCCGCACUCACCGCA